UUGAACGCUGGCGGCAGGCCUAACACAUGCAAGACGAGCGGUAGCACAGAGAGCUUGCUCUCGGGUGACGAGCGGCGGACGGGUGAGUAAUGUCUGGGAAACUGCCUGAUGGAGGGGGAUAACUACUGGAAACGGUAGCUAAUACCGCAUAACGUCGCAAGACCAAAGUGGGGGACCUUCGGGCCUCAUGCCAUCAGAUGUGCCCAGAUGGGAUUAGCUAGUAGGUGGGGUAACGGCUCACCUAGGCGACGAUCCCUAGCUGGUCUGAGAGGAUGACCAGCCACACUGGAACUGAGACACGGUCCAGACUCCUACGGGAGGCAGCAGUGGGGAAUAUUGCACAAUGGGCGCAAGCCUGAUGCAGCCAUGCCGCGUGUGUGAAGAAGGCCUUCGGGUUGUAAAGCACUUUCAGCGGGGAGGAAGGCGAUAAGGUUAAUAACCUUGUCGAUUGACGUUACCCGCAGAAGAAGCACCGGCUAACUCCGUGCCAGCAGCCGCGGUAAUACGGAGGGUGCAAGCGUUAAUCGGAAUUACUGGGCGUAAAGCGCACGCAGGCGGUCUGUCAAGUCGGAUGUGAAAUCCCCGGGCUCAACCUGGGAACUGCAUUCGAAACUGGCAGGCUAGAGUCUUGUAGAGGGGGGUAGAAUUCCAGGUGUAGCGGUGAAAUGCGUAGAGAUCUGGAGGAAUACCGGUGGCGAAGGCGGCCCCCUGGACAAAGACUGACGCUCAGGUGCGAAAGCGUGGGGAGCAAACAGGAUUAGAUACCCUGGUAGUCCACGCCGUAAACGAUGUCGAUUUGGAGGUUGUGCCCUUGAGGCGUGGCUUCCGGAGCUAACGCGUUAAAUCGACCGCCUGGGGAGUACGGCCGCAAGGUUAAAACUCAAAUGAAUUGACGGGGGCCCGCACAAGCGGUGGAGCAUGUGGUUUAAUUCGAUGCAACGCGAAGAACCUUACCUGGUCUUGACAUCCACAGAACUUUCCAGAGAUGGAUUGGUGCCUUCGGGAACUGUGAGACAGGUGCUGCAUGGCUGUCGUCAGCUCGUGUUGUGAAAUGUUGGGUUAAGUCCCGCAACGAGCGCAACCCUUAUCCUUUGUUGCCAGCGGUUCGGCCGGGAACUCAAAGGAGACUGCCAGUGAUAAACUGGAGGAAGGUGGGGAUGACGUCAAGUCAUCAUGGCCCUUACGACCAGGGCUACACACGUGCUACAAUGGCAUAUACAAAGAGAAGCGACCUCGCGAGAGCAAGCGGACCUCAUAAAGUAUGUCGUAGUCCGGAUUGGAGUCUGCAACUCGACUCCAUGAAGUCGGAAUCGCUAGUAAUCGUAGAUCAGAAUGCUACGGUGAAUACGUUCCCGGGCCUUGUACACACCGCCCGUCACACCAUGGGAGUGGGUUGCAAAAGAAGUAGGUAGCUUAACCUUCGGGAGGGCGCUUACCACUUUGUGAUUCAUGACUGGGGUG
rnacentral:rRNA from 1 species